ACAGCAGAAUAUUGCUUGUGGUUGUAAAAAAGCAGUUUUAUUUGGAGAAAAUGCAACUCCAUCGACACUGUGGAACUACACAUCUGUCUAAGCACUUAUAAAGCUGUUCCCAUACCUCAGAGAAAGAUUGCAACAUGCCUUACUCACUGGAAUAGAACAAAUAUGUCCUGGAAAAUUGUAUUAGAAUAGCCCAGAUGGAGAUUGUCAAAAUAUAAAUCUUUAUAGAUGCAACUGAGAAAACACCAAUGACAUCCUCCAACAUCUCAUCAGCCUUGGGGUCUGUGAUCUACAGCCAGCAUCUCAUGGGCCCUGGUUGGGGCUCAGGGUGAGAACCCCCAAGUGCCUUGUCCAUGGAUGCCAAAAUAUAGCACAGUGACUUCUCUGUAAGGGGAGCAAGGGAGAAAAGUCACUGCCUGCCAAGGACACAGAACAACAAUAGAGGUUUCCCUUUUGCCAUCCAUCUGAAAUGGGAGUGCGCGAUGUGAACUGCUGCUCUGAGCCAGUACAGCACCUCUUACACCUCCGGUGUUUUGCAGGCAUGCAUUUAUAUUGCAACCCAGGCCCAGCGUCCAUGGAGCUGGCCAGGAGCCCACCACCACCCCUCCGAGCCUCCCUGGCUGUGAGCUGCCAGGGCCGGCUUGCAUGUGCUGCACCCGCCCUGAAAAAUGAACUUUCAAAUCAAGAAGAAAUGCAGCCCUAUAAAUCCGUGGAGGUAAGGGAGAGGAAUAUACCUUGCACGUGCUCUGAUUGCAGAUAA
rnacentral:lncRNA from 1 species